CCUACGGGAGGCAGCAGUGGGGAAUUUUGCGCAAUGGGGGCAACCCUGACGCAGCAACGCCGCGUGAGUGAUGAAGGCCUUCGGGUCGUAGAGCUCUGUCAGAGGGGAAGAAAUGCAGGUGGUGAACAACCAUUCUGUUUGACGGUACCCUCAAAGGAAGCACCGGCUAACUCCGUGCCAGCAGCCGCGGUAAUACGGAGGGUGUGAGCGUUGUUCGGAAUUAUUGGGCGUAAAGCGCGUGUAGGCGGUUUGGUAAGGCGGAGGUGAAAGCCCCGGGCUCAACCGGGGAAGUGCAUUGGAUACUGGCAGACUUAAGGACGGGAGAGGAGAGUGGAAUCCCCAGUGUAGGAGUGAAAUCCGUAGAGAUUGGGAGGAACACCGGUGGCGAAGGCGGCUCUCUGGACCGAUACUGACGCUGAGACGCGAAAGCGUGGGGAGCAAACAGGAUUAGAUACCCGGGUAGU
rnacentral:rRNA from 1 species